rnacentral:siRNA from 1 species
AUAUAUAUGAAAGUUAGGCAACUC